rnacentral:rRNA from 1 species
GAUGAACGCUGGCGGCGUGCCUAACACAUGCAAGUCGAGCGGAAAGACGAGGAGCUUGCUCCUCUGACGUUAGCGGCGGACGGGUGAGUAACACGUGGAUAACCUACCUAUAAGACGGGGAUAACCUCGGGAAACCGGAUCAUAUAGCGGAUGAUAUACUGAACCGCAGGGGUCAAUGGUGAGAGUCGGCUUUGGUGGCUCUACUAGAUGGAUACGAGCUGGCUUAGCUGGUUGGUAGGGUAACGGGUUACCAAGGCGAGUAUGCGUAGCCGAGCGGAGGGGGUGGUCGCCCGCCCGGGAACUGGGCCACGGUCCAGGCGCCUACGGGAGGCCGCAGUCGCGAAUCUUACGCAAAGGGCGGAAGCCUGACGGAGCAACGCCGCGUGUGUGAUGGAGGUCUUCGGUUCGUAAAACUCUGUUACUGGGGAAAAACAACUGUGUACGUAACUAUGCCCUUCUUGACGGUACCUAAUCAGAAAGCCACGGCUAACUACGUG